rnacentral:rRNA from 1 species
UACGUAGGGGGCUAGCGUUGUCCGGAAUCAUUGGGCGUAAAGCGCGCGUAGGCGGCCCGGUAAGUCCGCUGUGAAAGUCAAAGGCUCAACCUUUGAAUGUCAGCGGAUACUGCCGGGCUAGAGUCCGGAAGAGGCGAGUGGAAUUCCUGGUGUAGCGGUGGAAUGCGUAGAGAUCCGGAGGAAGACCGGUGGCGAAGGCGGCCUGCUGGGCAGUUACUGACACUGAGGCGCGACAGCGUGGGGAGCAAACAGG